UACGUAGGGGGCAAGCGUUGUCCGGAUUUAUUGGGCGUAAAGAGCGUGUAGGCGGUUUGGUAGGUCCGUUGUGAAAACUCGAGGCUCAACCUCGAGACGCCGGCGGAAACCAUCAGGCUAGAGUCCGGAAGAGGGGAGUGGAAUUCCUGGUGUAGCGGUGAAAUGCGCAGAUAUCAGGAAGAACACCCGUGGCUAAGGCGGCUCUCUAGUACGGUACUGACGCUGAGACGCGAAAGCGUGGGGAGCGAACAGG
rnacentral:rRNA from 1 species